rnacentral:rRNA from 1 species
UAGUCCACGCCGUAAACGAUGAUUACUCGCUGUAGGCGAUACACAGUCUGUGGCUAAGCGAAAGUUUUAAGCAUUCCGCCUGGGGAGUACGCCGGCAACGGUAAAACUCAAAGGAAUUGACGGGGGUCCGCACAAGCGGUGGAGCAUAUGGUUUAAUUCGAUGAUACGCGAGGAACCUUACCUAGGCUCGAACGCUAUUUGACCGUCUAUGAAAGUAGAUUUUCCUUCGGGACGGAUAGUGAGGUGCUGCAUGGUUGUCGUCAGCUCGUGCCGUGAGGUGUUGGGUUAAGUCCCGCAACGAGCGCAACCCUUAUCCUUAGUUGCCAGCACAUAAUGGUGGGGACUCUAGGGAGACUGCCGGCGUAAGCCGCGAGGAAGGUGGGGACGACGUCAAAUCAUCAUGGCCUUUAUGCCUAGGGGCUACACACGUGCUACAAUGGUGCAUACAGCGGGUAGCGAAAUCGCGAGGUGGAGCUAAUCUUGUAAAGUGCAUCCCAGUUCGGAUUGGA